CGCCGCCAUUUUGGGCUGGGAGGAGGCAGCGGAGGGACUCGCUGCGCACAUCAAGAAAGAAAACCAAGGCACUAGAAAGCAAGCACACUUAAGUAUUGAAGAUAAUUACAUCUUAAAUUUUGCCUGAACUGUAUAUUGUAGCAUACUUAAACCCAUUCAAGGAAAAAAUUGGCAAAUUGAAAAUUCUCCCAUUAAAGAUUGAUAUUUUUGCAAACUGACAAAUUUAACGAUUUCGGUACCCCUCCCCAAAAAUGCAGUCACAUAAAAUAUAUCAAUACUAUUUUGAAUUAGCUCUAGAAAUCACACUGAAACUAUGUUACAUUUACAAAUAUUAAAUUUAUUAUAACUAAAAUGAAUUUAAUUGUUCUCAGAUUUGGCCACCUUAUAGCUCCGUUUAAGGAGGGGAUUUGUUAAAAACAAAAAUGCAUUAUAACUUGGUCAAAUUACUUUCACAUUAAGGAAAAAAACUUCUAAAAAGGAAAACAAGAAAAGCAACUCUUCAGUUUCACAUAAUUAAAAGAACAGGAGAAAGCACGCAAGCUACAUAUAGCUAAAUUUACGAAACCAA
rnacentral:lncRNA from 1 species